rnacentral:rRNA from 1 species
GACGAACGCUGGCGGCGUACUUAACACAUGCAAGUCGAGCGGAAAGGCCCUUUCGGGGGUACUCGAGCGGCGAACGGGUGAGUAACACGUGAGUAAUCUGCCCUUGGCUUUGGGAUAAGCCCCGGAAACGGGGUCUAAUACCGGAUACGACCAAUCACUGCAUAGUGUGUUGGUGGAAAGUUUUUUCGGCCAGGGAUGUGCUCGCGGCCUAUCAGCUUGUUGGUGGGGUAAUGGCCUACCAAGGCUUCGACGGGUAGCCGGCCUGAGAGGGUGACCGGCCACACUGGGACUGAGACACGGCCCAGACUCCUACGGGAGGCAGCAGUGGGGAGUAUUGGACAAUGGGCGGAAGCCUGAUCCAGCAACGCCGCGUGAGGGAUGACGGCCUUCGGGUUGUAAACCUCUUUCAGUACCGACGAAGCGCCGAUGAUGGUGGUGACGGUAGGUACAGAAGAAGCACCGGCCAGCUACGUGCCAGCAGCCGCCGUAAGAC